rnacentral:rRNA from 1 species
GACGAACGCUGGCGGCGUGCUUAACACAUGCAAGUCGAACGAAGUGGCGAACGGGUGAGUAACGCGUAAUCAACCUGCCCUUCAGAGGGGGACAACAGUUGGAAACGAAUGCUAAUACCGCAUACUGAAGGAGUGGAUUGCGUCUGAUUUGCUAGUUGGAGGGGUAACGGCCCACCAAGGCGAUGAUCAGAAGCAUGUCUGAGGGGAAGAACCGGCACAUUUGGAACUGAGCAAGGCCCAGACUCCUACGGGAGGCAGCAGUGGGGAAACGUCCGCAAUGGACGAAAGGCUGACGGAGGAACGCCGCGGGAGUGAUGACGGCCUUCGGGUUGGAAAGCUCUGUUAAGCGGGACGCGGUACCGGAAUAGGAAGCCACGGCUAACUACGUGCCAGCAGCCGCGGUAAUUC